rnacentral:rRNA from 1 species
GAUGAACGCUGGCGGCGUGCUUAACACAUGCAAGUCGAACGGACAGACCCUGCUCUUGUGGGGUUCUCGAGUGGCGAGCGGGUGAGUAUCACGUGUGUAACACGCCCCUGUCUUUCUGAUAACUUCACGAAAAUGCGGCUCAUACCCGAUAGGAUAUACUGCUCCAUGGUGGGGGUUGGAAAGUUGCGGCGGUUGGGGAAGGACUCGCGGCUUAGCAGCUUGUUGGUGGGGUUGUGGCUUUCCAAGGCUUUGAGGGGUACCCGGCCUGAGAGGGUGAGCGGCCACAUUGGGACUGAGGGAAGGCCCAGACACCGACGGGAGGCAGCAGGGGGGAAGAGUGCACAAUGGGCGGAAGCCGGAUGCAGCAACGCCGCGGGCGGGAUAACGGCCUUCGGGGUGUAAACCGCUUUCGCCUGUGACGAAGCGUGAGUGACGGGAAUGGGUAAAGAAGCACCGGCUAACUACGGG